AGAGUGAACGCUGGCGGUAGGCCUAACACAUGCAAGUCGAACGGCAGCACAGUGGUAGCAAUACCAUGGGUGGCGAGUGGCGGACGGGUGAGGAAUACAUCGGAAUCUACCUUUUCGUGGGGGAUAACGUAGGGAAACUUACGCUAAUACCGCAUACGCCCUUCGGGGGAAAGCCGGGGAUCGCAAGACCUGGCGCGGAUAGAUGAGCCGAUGUCGGAUUAGCUAGUUGGUGAGGUAAUGGCUCACCAAGGCGACGAUCCGUAGCUGGUCUGAGAGGAUGAUCAGCCACACUGGAACUGAGACACGGUCCAGACUCCUACGGGAGGCAGCAGUGGGAAUAGUUGGACAAUGGGCGCAAAGCCUGACUCCAACGCCAUACCGGCGUUGGGUGAAAGAAGGCCGUUCGGUUAGUUAAACGUCCCGUUUUAGUUAGGAAAGAAAAGCGUAAAGUUCGGUUAAA
rnacentral:rRNA from 1 species